GACGAACGCUGGCGGCGUGCCUAAUACAUGCAAGUUGAGCGCUGAAGGUUGGUACUUGUACCAACUGGAUGAGCAGCGAACGGGUGAGUAACGCGUGGGGAAUCUGCCUUUGAGCGGGGGACAACAUUUGCAAACGAAUGCUAAUACCGCAUAAAAACUUUAAACACAAGUUUUAAGUUUGAAAGAUGCAAUUGCAUCACUCAAAGAUGAUCCCGCGUUGUAUUAGCUAGUUGGUGAGGUAAAGGCUCACCAAGGCGAUGAUACAUAGCCGACCUGAGAGGGUGAUCGGCCACAUUGGGACUGAGACACGGCCCAAACUCCUACGGGAGGCAGCAGUAGGGAAUCUUCGGCAAUGGACGAAAGUCUGACCGAGCAACGCCGCGUGAGUGAAGAAGGUUUUCGGAUCGUAAAACUCUGUUGGUAGAGAAGAACGUUGGUGAGAGUGGAAAGCUCAUCAAGUGACGGUAACUACCCAGAAAGGGACGGCUAACUACGUG
rnacentral:rRNA from 1 species